GACGAACGCUGGCGGCGUGCCUAAUACAUGCAAGUCGAACGCAGUGGGGACGGGUGAGUAACACCUGGGUAACCUCCCAUCAGAGGGGAUAACACUUGGAAACAGGUGCUAAACCGAUAUUGAUGGCUGGACCCGCGGUGCAUUAGCUAGUUGGUGAGGUAACGGCUCACCAAGUCCAUGAGGCAUAGACGACCGGCAAGGGUGAUCGCCCACACUGGAACUGAGACACGGCCCAGACUCCUACGGGAGGCAGCCGUAGGGAAUCUUAGGCAAUGGACGAAAGUCUGACCGAGCGACGCCGCGUGAGUGAAGAAGGUUUUCGGAUCGUAAAACUCUGUCGUUAGAGAAGCGGUAUCUAACCAGAAAGCCACGGCUAACUACGUGCCAGCAGCCGCGGUAAUAC
rnacentral:rRNA from 1 species